AUUGAACGCUGGCGGCAGGCCUAACACAUGCAAGUCGAGCGGAUGAAGGGAGCUUGCUCCUGGAUUCAGCGGCGGACGGGUGAGUAAUGCCUAGGAAUCUGCCUGGUAGUGGGGGAUAACGUCCGGAAACGGGCGCUAAUACCGCAUACGUCCUGAGGGAGAAAGUGGGGGAUCUUCGGACCUCACGCUAUCAGAUGAGCCUAGGUCGGAUUAGCUAGUUGGUGGGGUAAAGGCCUACCAAGGCGACGAUCCGUAACUGGUCUGAGAGGAUGAUCAGUCACACUGGAACUGAGACACGGUCCAGACUCCUACGGGAGGCAGCAGUGGGGAAUAUUGGACAAUGGGCGAAGGCCUGAUCCAGCCAUGCCGCGUGUGUGAAGAAGGUCUUCGGAUUGUAAAGCACUUUAAGUUGGGAGGAAGGGCAGUAAGUUAAUACAUUGCUGUUUUGACGUUACCAACAGAAUAAGCACCGGCUAACUUCGUG
rnacentral:rRNA from 1 species